rnacentral:rRNA from 1 species
UACGAAGGGGGCUAGCGUUGUUCGGAAUACUGGGCGUAAAGGGCUCGUAGGCGGCCAACUAAGUCAGACGUGAAAUCCCUCGGCUUAACCGGGGAACUGCGUCUGAUACUGGAUGGCUUGAGUUUGGGAGAGGGAUGCGGAAUUCCAGGUGUAGCGGUGAAAUGCGUAGAUAUCUGGAGGAACACCGGUGGCGAAGGCGGCAUCCUGGACCAACACUGACGCUGAGGAGCGAAAGCCAGGGGAGCAAACGGG